rnacentral:tRNA from 1 species
GUAGAUAUAGUUUAAANAAAACAUUAGAUUGUGAUUCUAAAAAANGGGGUUAAANCCCUCUUGUCCACC